AGAGUUUGAUUCUGGCUCAGAACGAACGCUGGCAGCGUGGAUUAGGCAUGCAAGUCGAACGGGAUCCAAUGCUAUAGCAAUAUAAUGUUGGUGAGAGUGGCGUAAGGGCGAGUAACGCGUGGGCAAUCUACCUCAAAGUUGGGGAUAACCCGGCGAAAGCUGGGCUAACACCGAAUGUGGUCGUGCCGCAAAAGCGGCAAGGACUAAAGGCGGGGAUCUUUCGGGACCUGCCGCUUUGAGAGGAGCCCGCGUGCCAUCAGCUUGUUGGUGGGGUAACGGCCUACCUAGGCUUACGGCUAGCUGGUCUGAGAGGACGACCAGCCGCACUGGGACUGAGACACUGCCCAGACUCCUACGGGAGGCUGCAGUCGAGGAUCUUGGACAAUGGGGGAAACCCUGAUCCAGCGACGCUGCGUGGAGGAUGAAGGCCUUCGGGUUGUAAACUCCUGUCAUUCGGGAAAAACGACCCCACGGAUAAUACCCGUGGGGAGUGAUGGUACCGGAAGAGGAAGCCACGGCUAACUCUGUGCCAGCAGCCGCGGUAAUACAGAGGUGGCAAGCGUUGUUCGGAUUUACUGGGCGUAAAGGGUGCGUAGGUGGUUGCUUAUGUCGGGCGUGAAAGCCCACGGCUCAACCGUGGAAGUGCGUCCGAAACUGGGCGACUGGAGUGCAGGAUGGGAGAGCGGAAUUCUUGGUGUAGCGGUGAAAUGCGUUGAUAUCAAAGAACACCGGUGGCGAAGGCGGCUCUCUGGAAUGCAACUGACACUGAGGCACGAAAGAUGGGGGAGCAAACAGGAUUAGAUACCCUGGUAGUCCCAUCUGUAAACGGUGCGCACUUGGUGUGGGAGGAAUUGACCCCUUCCGUGCCGGAGCUAACGCGUUAAGUGCGCCGCCUGGGGAGUACGGUCGCAAGACUAAAACUCAAAGAAAUUGACGGGGGCCCGCACAAGCGGAGGAGCAUGUGGCUCAAUUCGAUGCAACGCGAAGAACCUUACCAGGACUUGACAUGCAGCUGCACGUCCCGUGAAAGCGGGAUUCCUUCGAGGGUGCUGCACAGGUGCUGCAUGGCUGUCGUCAGUUCGUGCCGUGAGGUGUUGGGUUAAGUCCCGCAACGAACGCAACCCCUGUGUCUAGUUGCUACCAGGUAAUGCUGGGCACUCUAGACAGACUGCCUGUAUAAAACAGGAGGAAGGUGGGGAUGACGUCAAGUCAGUAUGGCCCUUACGUCCUGGGCUGCACACGUGCUACAAUGGCCGGUACAGAGGGAAGCAAGACCGCGAGGUGGAGCAAAUCCUUAAAACCGGCCCCAGUUCGGAUUGAAGGCUGAAACUCGCCUUCAUGAAGUCGGAUUCGCUAGUAACGGCGCAUCAGCUACGGCGCCGUGAAUACGUUCCCGGGCCUUGUACACACCGCCCGUCACAUCAUGAAAGCCGUCUGCACCCGAAGUUGCCGAUCCAACCCGCAAGGGAGGUAGGUACCUAAGGUGUGGGUGGUGAUUGGGAUGAAGUCGUAACAAGGUA
rnacentral:rRNA from 1 species